rnacentral:rRNA from 1 species
CCUACGGGUGGCAGCAGUGAGGAAUAUUGGUCAAUGGACGAGAGUCUGAACCAGCCAAGUAGCGUGAAGGAUGACUGCCCUAUGGGUUGUAAACUUCUUUUAUAAAGGAAUAAAACGAGGCACGUGUGCCUUUUUGCAUGUACUUUAUGAAUAAGGAUCGGCUAACUCCGUGCCAGCAGCCGCGGUAAUACGGAGGAUCCGAGCGUUAUCCGGAUUUAUUGGGUUUAAAGGGAGCGUAGAUGGGUUGUUAAGUCAGUUGUGAAAGUUUGCGGCUCAACCGUAAAAUUGCAAUUGAUAAUGGCAGUCUUGAGUACAGUUGAGGUAGGCGGAAUUCGUGGUGGAGCGGUGAAAUGCUUAGAUAUCACGAAGAACCCCGAUUGCGAAGGCAGCAUACCGGCGCCCUACUGACGCUGAGGCACGAAAGUGCGGGUAUCGAACAGGAUUAGAUACCCCUGUAGUC